AUGGAAAGAACUUUGAAAAGAGAGUGAAAAGAACUUGAAACCGUCACGGGGGAAGCGAAUUGCGUGAGUGGUGGUGCCGCUUGUUCAGCGCCUUUGGCGUGCAUUCUGGCGGUACCUUGUCGUCGUGGCUGGCUGGCUACGUGAUUUUGACGUGCCGGCUGGUGAGGGCUCCCUUCACAGGUGAGGACGACGACAAAAUGACGCAAUACGACCCGUCUUGAAACACGGACCAAGGAGUCUAGCACGGCUGCGAGUCGAAGGGUGAUUAAACCCAAGGGCGCAGUGAAAGCGAAACUAUAAGCAAAUUGGGGAGGCGUUGCGUUUUUAACAAAAUGUCCUACCUUGAGCAUUUGUGCUGGGACCCGAAAGAUGGUGAACUAUGCCGGAGUAGGGCAAAGCCAGAGGAAACUCUGGUGGAGGCUCGUAGCGAUGCUGACGUGCAAAUCGCUCGUCGAACUUGGGUAUAGGGGCGAAAGACUAAUCGAACCAUCUAGUAGCUGGUUCCCUCCGAAGUUUCUCUCAGGAUAGCGGGCCGACAUUUUUGUUGUUUUGUGC
rnacentral:rRNA from 1 species